UCUUGAGAGCGGCGGACGGGUGAGUAAUGCCUAGGAAUCUGCCUGGUAGUGGGGGAUAACGUUCGGAAACGGACGCUAAUACCGCAUACGUCCUACGGGAGAAAGCAGGGGACCUUCGGGCCUUGCGCUAUCAGAUGAGCCUAGGUCGGAUUAGCUAGUUGGUGAGGUAAUGGCUCACCAAGGCGACGAUCCGUAACUGGUCUGAGAGGAUGAUCAGUCACACUGGAACUGAGACACGGUCCAGACUCCUACGGGAGGCAGCAGUGGGGAAUAUUGGACAAUGGGCGAAAGCCUGAUCCAGCCAUGCCGCGUGUGUGAAGAAGGUCUUCGGAUUGUAAAGCACUUUAAGUUGGGAGGAAGGGCAGUUACCUAAUACGUGAUUGUUUUGACGUUACCGACAGAAUAAGCACCGGCUAACUCUGUGCCAGCAGCCGCGGUAAUACAGAGGGUGCAAGCGUUAAUCGGAAUUACUGGGCGUAAAGCGCGCGUAGGUGGUUUGUUAAGUUGGAUGUGAAAUCCCCGGGCUCAACCUGGGAACUGCAUUCAAAACUGACUGACUAGAGUAUGGUAGAGGGUGGUGGAAUUUCCUGUGUAGCGGUGAAAUGCGUAGAUAUAGGAAGGAACACCAGUGGCGAAGGCGACCACCUGGA
rnacentral:rRNA from 1 species